rnacentral:rRNA from 1 species
UACGUAGGGUGCGAGCGUUGUCCGGAAUUAUUGGGCGUAAAGAGCUCGUAGGCGGUCUGUCGCGUCGGUCGUGAAAACUUGGGGCUUAACCCUGAGCUUGCGGUCGAUACGGGCAGACUGGAGUACUGCAGGGGAGACUGGAAUUCCUGGUGUAGCGGUGGAAUGCGCAGAUAUCAGGAGGAACACCGGUGGCGAAGGCGGGUCUCUGGGCAGUAACUGACGCUGAGGAGCGAAAGCGUGGGGAGCGAACAGG